rnacentral:rRNA from 1 species
GAUGAACGCUGGCGGCGUGCCUAAUACAUGCAAGUCGAGCGAACGGACGAGAAGCUUGCUUCUCUGAUUUUAUCGGCGGACGGGUGAGUAACACGUGUUUAACCUACCUAUACGACUGGGAUAACUUUGGGAAACCGUAUCUAAUACCCGAUAAUUUUUUGAACUUCAUUGUUCAAAAGUUAAAUACGGUCUUUCUGUCACUUAUAGCUUGAUCCGCGCUGCAUGAGCUAGUUGGUAAGGUAACGGCUUACCAAGGCAACGAUGCAUAGCCGACCUGAGAGGGUGAUCGGACAGACGGGAACUGAGAAAGGGUCCAGACACCUACGGGAAGAAGCAGUAGGGAAUCUUACGGAAUGGGCGAAAGCCUGACGGAGCAAAGCCGCGUGAGGGAUGAAGGUCUACGGAUCGGAAAGCGAUGUUAGUAGGGAAGAACAUAUGUGUAAGUAACUGUGCAGAUCAUGACGGUACCUAAUCAGAAAGCCACGGCUAACUACGUG